GAAGUACUGUUUGGUCUCGAAGGUUUCCUGGGAAGAGGGAGUGCGGCAAGUAGUAUUCCUCUGGACAAGGCGGACCGCUCUUUGUGAAGUUUUUGGGCAUUGAUGCAGGCUGUCCCUAGGCUUAUCAGGUGGAGCCUGGGACCAGUGCUCUGACGACCCCAGUGUGUGUAUUGGAGUGGAUUUGCUGUGCGCUGUCGGUAUGUUUUUUGGUUUUUAUUUUGUUUUGGAGUGAGGACUACUUUGUUGUUUUGAGUGUAUGGUAUUUUGAUUUGUUUAAACCAGGGGUGCUAAUUGAGCAGUAGGGUCCCAGCCUGCUGUGAGGAUACCUCUGGCCGCCCAGUGGCGCGGGCCGGGGUUUUGAACUACCUACUGAAGGACAUACUUCACCAGUGGAAACAUCAACCAGGUCACUGGGAGUUAUUGAACCCGCUCCUCUUUGUUGUGAUUGUUAAUAAAACCAAUAAAUACUUUUAUGAUCCA